rnacentral:rRNA from 1 species
CUUUCCUGUAUCCUGGAAUUGGGUUCGGGCUUUGCUUGCGCAGAAUAGGUGGGAGGCGUGGAAGUUAUCCUUGUGGGGAUGAUGGAGCCAUCGGUGGGAUACCACUCUAGUAGAGCUAGAAUUCUAACUCUGACCCGUGAAUCCGGGUCGAAGACAGUUUCAGGGGGGCAGUUCGACUGGGGCGGUCGCCUCCUAAAAGGUAACGGAGGCGCGCAAAGGUUCCCUCAGAAUGGUUGGAAAUCAUUCGCAGAGUGUAAAGGCAUAAGGGAGCUUGACUGUGAGACCUACAAGUCGAACAGGGUGGAAACACGGCCUUAGUGAUCCGACGGUACUGUGUGGAAAGGCCGUCGCUCAACGGAUAAAAGUUA